rnacentral:lncRNA from 1 species
UAUAUUUAUUAGAAACGUAGCUGUUCUUUGUCUCGGUGAUCUCAUGCACACACAAACUUUCUGAAUCCCUUUGCAGCCUGCUGAUAUCUACCUGAUUGAUGAGCCAAGUGCAUAUCUCGAUUCAGAGCAGCGUAUUGUGGCUUCUAAAGUCAUUAAGCGGUUCAUUCUCCAUGCGAAGAAAACCGCAUUUGUAGUUGAGCAUGACUUUAUAAUGGCGACCUAUCUGGCAGACCGAGUCAUCGUCUAUGAAGGACAACCAUCCAUUGAUUGUACUGCAAAUUGUCCUCAGUCACUGCUCACUGGGAUGAAUCUCUUCUUAUCCGUGAGUGUCUUAUUACUAACUGUAGGGGCAAGAAAAAAAGGGACCUAAUGAUUUAUAUUUACCCUGCAGCAUCUGAACAUCACCUUCAGAAGGGAUCCCACCAACUUCAGACCAAGGAUCAACAAAUUAGAGUCGACUAAAGACAGGGAGCAAAAGUCUGCUGGCUCAUACUACUACUUGGAUGAUUAAGACAACUACCAUGAGGUUCUUAAUCUCUAAAUCCCAAUUCUUGUUUUUUGUCGCUCACACAGCAUUUUAUGGAGAGCGAAUACCUGAAAUGUUUGUUCUCUCUUUGUUUCCUUUAUGGGUUCAUCACAGAGCAUAUGGCAUGAUGUGGACAAAACAUUGUGCGAGUUACAUCUUUGCUGUGAGGAAGUUGAUCUAAGUGAGCUCGAGUAUUUUGCGCAACCAUCUGUUUUUCGGAGUUCUUUAGGAGAUGUUACUCUUCAAAGCUUUUGUUCAUCAGUUUUGAGCAAAUAAUAAGAGUUUCUGAAUCUUUUUUAACCUUUGUUUCUUUUGGCUUUUGUAUUUUCUGAGUUGAUAAUUUACUGUUGUGGUGUUGGUAUUUGGAUUUCAUAAGGAAUGAACUGCUUCUGUUUUUGCUUCUCACAUAGCCUCUAUUGGGAAACUUUUUUUCAACAUGGUUCCCGCAGCAGCAGUGUACCCAUGAGCUUUUGGGAUUAUAACCACCCCGUAGAAAGUUUCACCUAAAGAAAGAUCUUCAAGAUGAGCACAAGCUUGUUGUGUUUUAACGAGUCCAUGUCCAACUAUUUAUUGUCUAAUUUUUUUUUGUCUGGUUAAUUAUGAUAUUACAAAUUAUAAGAAACAUAUUUAUUGUCUAAUUAGUACAAUAUUGUCAAUUUUAGAUUUAAUAAAUUGGUUUGUAUAGAUUUACUUUUGGACUCAUUUUUAAAAAGGGUAGGAUCUUUUAACUUAAUUUCUGUCACAUAGUUCCAUUUUUAACUCUUAAAAAAUACAAUUAAGAGUUAUUUUGGAUUCACCCUCUAAGAUAAACUUCUAGGUUCACUAAUCAAUAAAAUUUUAUUAUUUUAAAUUUGAUAUUUAAAAAAAAAUAUUGUCAAGUUAUAUCAUGUUUUUAAAAUAAAAAAUAUAUAAAAAAUAAUAGUUACCGAAAAAAAUUAGAAAAAAUAUUUUUAACGUCGUGAGCAAAACAUUAAACGAUAAAUCUUAAACCCUUGGGAAAACCUCGAACUCUUGGAUAAAUCCUAAUCUAAAUAAAAAACACUAAACACUAAAACCCUAAACUCUAAACCCUUGAUUUAGUAAUUUGGAUUUAGAGUUUAAGAUUUAUCUAAGGGUUUAGGAUUUAUCCAAAGGUUUAGUGUUUACGUAAAGAUUUAGGGUUUAUGGAUUAAGAUUUAGGGUUUAGUGUUUUGCUGACGAUUUUAAAAAUAUUUUUUUUAAUUGCUACUAUUUUUUAUUUAUUUCUUUUUACCUUUUAAUUUUAAAAACAUAAUAUAAUUUGACAAUAUUUUGUUUCUUUUUUUUUAAAAUAUAUCGAAUAUGAAAUAACACAAUCCUAUUAGUUUGUGAACCCAAAAAUAAGUCUACAAUUAAUAUCGUGAAUGGUAUUUUGGUCUUAUUGCAAAUUUCUCGUCAGUCCGCUCUGAUACCAAUUGUUGGGUUUUAAUAAGCUUAUGUCCAAUUUUUUAUUGUCCGACUAAUAUGAUAUAUUGUCUACUUUGUAUCUAACAGACUGGCCUGCAUAGAUUUAUUUUUGAGUUUUUUACCAAAAUUAUCCAUAUUAAUUAGAGUUGGACAUUUUUUAUAUAUUAGACACUUUUUAUCUAAAUUUUCAAUGCGAAAUUUUAUUUGAUAUCUAAUAAAGCCGAGAUAACACAUGAAAAAGUCAGUCACGUUACCAGCUUCUUGUGAUCAACUUGAUAUACUUCAACGAUACCUUGUAUGACUAUUUGUAAUAUAUUUAUUCACCGGUUGUGUUCCAAAGAAACAAUGUCUCGGGGAUCCAUAUGCGUGAAUACACACAACACACUCCGCAGGGCUCAAAUUUUCAUCUUUUGCAUAAAGAUUCAGCAAUGCAUUGCAUAAGUCAGAAUCACAUCCCAUGCCAGCCUCUAUUGCCAAACAAUGAACCAGUGGACAUAUCUUCUAUAGGUUUAAACUGGAUAACGUCGAGAGUGCAAGUAAUAGCGUUGACGAAUCUCUAACAAGAUGUUUCUAAUUAGAUCGUUUACUGCGCCUAUCUAAUUGGGCUUUUUCCUUCUUAAAUUGUUUAUACGCAACUAAUUAAAAUGUUUAUUUUUCUCAAGUUUGACAAUUGACAACAUACAUGAUGCAUGAAUAUCUAUCUGUUUCUCUGCUUGGCUGGAAAUUAUUAUUCGUUUGUCAUAAGAGAAUUAACUAAUUCCUUUCACCCUGUUUAAAAAUAAUAUUAACGGUGUAAAAAGUCUUUUCUCUCUUAAAAAGAGAGUUCUCUCUCGAACUUCUUUUUUCUCUUAUCAAUUUCUUAUCUUUCAGAGAUAUUAGUGAUGUUCUGAGAGUGAGAGAGUUCGCCGUUUUUUGCUCUCCGGUUUCGGUUUCAUGUGGCCGGCCUUCGACUCCAGCAUUUUAACCUUACCCUCCGGUAAAGAACGACUGGCUUUUGACUUUGGGAAACUGUUGCUUAGUUAGCAAUGGCUUCGCCGGCUUCUGUCUCCGGGAAGCGAUGACUCCUUCAGCAUCGCUCUCUCCGGCACCGUUUGAUUUUCGGAUCUGUUCUUCUUUGUCCGACUGCCUCUCGAUUUGAAUCUUCGAUGAUUCUCCUCCCAAGUUGAUUGGUUUAUGCAUCUUUAAACUUAUCUCUAUCAUCAAAGAUGCCGGUUCUUCACAUGCAAGAUACUCGAAUAAGUAAGUUCGAUUGUAGACGGUUGAUGUUUUUCCCCGAUUCGUAGAUCCACCAAAUUUGAUUCCUGGGUUCGAGCCUUAUGAAGAUUGGUUUCUUCUGUGGUUCGAUUUCACCGUCGGUGGAGCUCCGUCGCGUCUUCUCUUUAGUUCCGGUGGACGGAAGUGGCUCUUCGUCUUGACCGUGUUUAUUGAUCGUCGGACGAUCGUCCACGUGGAAGAGGACGUGCCUCAACUUGUUUCCUCGACGGUUUUCUUCUUGUGGGCUGAAAGCCACAAUUUGUUUAAUGUGGGUCUGUUUGUUUGGCCUUUUUGUUUUACAGUUUAAGAUGGACCGCUGUUUAGCCCUUUUGUUUUUGGAUUUUACCCGAUUGGAUCUAAUCCUUUGAUAAAAUUUUCAUUUGACAAAAAAAAUAAUAUUAACGAAGUGUUCUAUACUAUUUACUAUAUUGAUCAAAAUUAAUAAUUUCACUGAUUAAAAAUCAUUAUAAACACAAUAAUUACAUUGUGAUUGUGGCGAUUAGUUUGACAAGACAUUAUUAUCAGAAAAAAGAUUGAAAUUUUGUUUAGGUACAUAUAGCUGCUCAACAUAUGAUACUUGCGGAAUAGAAUCUCAAAAAUCAUAAUGGUCAAAGUCUUUCUCAGACCGUACUGUACCCGUUACCUCUCCCGAAAGUAUUUGCAUAUAAAUGUUGACAAAAAUUGUUUCGCGCCCUUAAAGCAUCGCCUAUAUAUUUUUUUUUAACGCUGAUUUAUUAUAAUCUUACAAUUAUGAUAUGAGAAAUAUUACAUAGAUGAUUCGACAACAUGUUAAAGAUCCCCUGUAAGCCUUUAUUCCGUAGUCUGCAUAAUUGUUUAAUAAAUCGCUUUCUCCGAGACUUGAAAUCUGGAUGUCUUGUAAUCUGCAAAUAAAUUAUAUAGUCUGAGAUUUGAACCCUAAGUGACUCUCCCUUUCUCUGUCAGAGAAGGAAUCAACAUUUUCUUGGCUGGCUUUGUUCCCACUGAGAAUCUACGUUUUAGAGAUGAAUCUCUGACCUUCAAGGUAAACUUUCUUUUGAUGGUGCAGCAGUUAAUGUCGCUUCAAUCAUUGUUGUGUGUUUGAUGGUUCUUCUUCUUUUGUUCUGAAGGUUUCUGAGACUCCACAAGAAAGUGCUGAGGAGAUACAGUCGUACGCUAGGUACAAGUACCCCACCAUGACCAAAACACAAGGAAACUUCAGGUUGAAAGUCUCCGAAGGUGAAUUCACCGACUCUCAGAUUAUUGUAAUGCUUGGGGAGAAUGGUACAGGAAAGACAACGUUCAUCCGGAUGCUGGUACUCUCUUCCUCCAUCACAUCCUCUCUUUUGGUUAAGUGCUGGACACUCGUAAACCUGUAUUUAUUGGUAAUGAUUUCUGCAGGCGGGUUUGUUGAAACCUGACGAGACUGAAGGAUCAGACAUAGAGAUUCCAGAGUUCAAUGUUUCUUACAAGCCGCAGAAGAUCAGUCCCAAGUUUGAGAACUCAGUUAGGCACUUGCUGCAUCAGAAGAUUCGGGAUUCUUACAUGCAUCCUCAGUUUGUGUCAGACGUGAUGAAGCCGCUGCAGAUUGAGCAGCUGAUGGAUCAACAAGUUGUUAAUCUCUCAGGAGGAGAGUUGCAAAGGGUUGCAUUAGCUCUGUGCCUCGGAAAGGUGAAGUAUUUUGUGUUAGAAACUUAGCUUCUUUUGUUUUGUCUCGGUGAUCUCAUGCAUACACAAACUUUUGUGAAUCUACUUGCAGCCUGCGGAUAUAUACCUGAUUGAUGAGCCAAGUGCAUAUCUCGAUUCAGAGCAGCGUAUUGUGGCUUCUAAAGUCAUUAAGCGGUUCAUUCUCCAUGCGAAGAAAACCGCAUUUGUAGUUGAGCAUGACUUUAUAAUGGCGACCUAUCUGGCAGACCGAGUCAUCGUCUAUGAAGGACAACCAUCCAUUGAUUGUACUGCAAAUUGUCCUCAGUCACUGCUCACUGGGAUGAAUCUCUUCUUAUCCGUGAGUGUCUUAUUACUAACUGUAGGGGCAAGAAAAAAAGGGACCUAAUGAUUUAUAUUUACCCUGCAGCAUCUGAACAUCACCUUCAGAAGGGAUCCCACC